rnacentral:rRNA from 1 species
GGUGGGGGAUGACGUCAAGUCAUCAUGGCCCUUACGGCCUGGGCUACACACGUGCUACAAUGGUCGGUACAAAGGGUUGCCAAGCCGCGAGGUGGAGCUAAUCCCAUAAAACCGAUCGUAGUCCGGAUCGCAGUCUGCAACUCGACUGCGUGAAGUCGGAAUCGCUAGUAAUCGUGAAAUCAGAAUGUCACGGUGAAUACGUUCCCGGGCCUU